rnacentral:rRNA from 1 species
GCGUACCUUUUGUAUAAUGGGUCAGCGACUUAUAUUCUGUAGCAAGGUUAACCGAAUAGGGGAGCCGGAGGGAAACCGAGUCUUAACCGGGCGUUAAGUUGCAGGGUAUAGACCCGAAACCCGGUGAUCUAGCCAUGGGCAGGUUGAAGGUUGGGUAACACUAACUGGAGGACCGAACCGACUAAUGUUGAAAAAUUAGCGGAUGACCUGUGGCUGGGGGUGAAAGGCCAAUCAAACCGGGAGAUAGCUGGUUCUCCCCGAAAGCUAUUUAGGUAGCGCCUCGUGAAUUCAUCUCCGGGGGUAGAGCACUGUUUCGGCUAGGGGGCCAUCCCGGCUUACCAACCCGAUGCAAACUGCGAAUACCGGAGAAUGUUAUCACGGGAGACACACGGCGGGUGCUAACGUCCGUCGUGAAGAGGGAAACAACCCAGACCGCCAGCUAAGGUCCCAAAGUCAUGGUUAAGUGGGAAACGAUGUGGGAAGGCCCAGACAGCCAGGAUGUUGGCUUAGAAGCAGCCAUCAUUUAAAGAAAGCGUAAUAGCUCACUGGUCGAGUCGGCCUGCGCGGAAGAUGUAACGGGGCUAAACCAU